rnacentral:misc_RNA from 1 species
UACGUAGGGUGCAGGCGUUAUCCGGAAUUAUUGGGCGUAAAGCGCUCGCAGGCGGUCUUUUAAGUCUGAUGUGAAAGCCCACGGCUCAACCGCGGAGGGUCAUUGGAAACUGGGAGACUUGAGUGCAGAAGAGGAGAGUGGAAUUCCACGUGUAGCGGUGAAAUGCGUAGAGAUGUGGAGGAACACCAGUGGCGAAGGCGGCUCUCUGGUCUGUAACUGACGCUGAGGCGCGAAAGCGUGGGGAGCAAACAGG